UUUCGAGAGUCACUCACACCCUUUAGGUUCGUCCCUGUGUUGUCGCAAGCGAGGGACGAUCCACAGCAAACACCAAAGGGCGUGGCUUUUCCCAAUACAGUUGCCGUUACCAUUCGGCCACGGAGGAAAAGUUAAACUCAACCGACAAAUCGGACAUGUCUUUCCGCACUCAUUAGCAUGCAAAUAAAAAAAAAAACACGCCCAAACGCUCUUCAGGAGCGUUUUUUGAGCGAAAUAAAAAAAUAACUAUAAAGGAAGAAAUAUAAGAAAUAUCUGAGUUGAAAGUUGUGGCUAAAAACCCUCAAUUUAAGCUAGAAAUAAAGCUUUAUAGCUUCGUAAACAGGGAUACCGAAAAUUCAAUUUUGUACAUACGGGAUAUAUAUACCAUGAAUCAAUGCUUUGUGACGUCAGUUACAGCAUGGCUUCGAGCAACGGAACAUCUAAAAAAAUGGAUGAAAACCACGCCAAAAUUCUUUAUUUUCUGCCAAAAUAAAAAAAGAAGUCAAUUAAACGCUUUAGAAAUUGCGACGAGACCAUAAUGGACGUUUUGUUAAAUGUUGGGCCAAAUCGGAAGAGGAAUGAUGAAGAAAUUAUUGAGAAAUUUCAAAGUUAAAUCAUGCUGGUCAAAGACAAAAUGGCGGACGUCUUCUUGUCCAAUCAAGAAAAUGGAACGGAACUGCUUCAAUGGUGUUGAAAGUCAACAAUAUGUUAUAUGUGAUACCCUGUAAGUUAUUAUACAAUUACUCUUAAUGUAUAAAGCUAUUAUGUUUUACUUAUUUUACUUUUUACUAACUCAUUUAAUAUUUUGUCCUUUUAUUUCUCUAAAAAUGUUACCUAAAAAUUCGUUCAUUGCAUACAUUUCAAUACCACAACAAGAUGAUUAUUAUCAAAUGAUACAAUAGUCAUGUUCCAUUGCAAAUCUUCUAUAACCCUGUGAGAUAAAAGAUCGCCACACCCCUGAAACAAUUUACAGGUACCCCCCCCCCCCACCCUGCUGCAAAGCACAGCCUUAAUUUACCUGAAAACUGUCGCUACUUUAUUUGAUAUAUCUAAAAAUUAAUCAGCUAUUUUUUAAUUCCCUUUAGUGAAUCUACAAAGCCAAGAUAAACCGUGGCGAGAAAAACCGAACAGCAGAAGAUGGUGAGUUGUUUUCUUUCUCUGGUAAAUUAAAUAUACACGAUAUAUUGCACGUGACUUUAGAAGUUGAUGGAUAAAAAAUUAACGCCUCCCAAACUUUCGUUGCCAUGACAAUCAUGACGUUUCAAUAUGGCGCAUAUUUUGGCUGAAGCUGUCUCCUUACUGGUUUUUUUGGGCAGCUGGAAAAUUUACGAUUUGGGGUAUAUUUUUUAACAAUUUUUACUUGUUCAAUCGGAAAUAGUAUCUGACCUAUAGAAAAUACUACCUGAAGAAUAUGAAAUGUUUCUUAAAAUUGGCGUCAGUGCCGUUGCUAUGGUAGCCAUGACGUUUUAAUAUGACCGGUUUUCUUUGGCUUUAAACUAAUUUAAUUCUAAAAAUAGAACGGUGACUCCACUUUUUAUCUUGUUAAUCGUUCGAUUAGUGAAAAUAAUGAUUUAACCACCUUUUAAAAAAAUUGCCAUUGCAGAUUUCUUAAAAUUUACUGGCGAGCUUUUUAAAAAGAUGUCUAAUUAAUUAUUUUCAGGAAUUGAGAACGUUUUAGCGUUUUAAUGAACGUCAUGGUUACCAUAACAACGACAAUGACGUCAUUUUUGGUAAAAAAUUUAUGCUAUUCAGAUAGUAUUUUCUAUAGCUCAGAUACUAGCAUAGGCAACGCAGAAAAUAUAUGUAUUUACUUAAAAACGCCUUAAAAUUAGAAAUAACUUUCUGACUUUGCCAUUAGUGCUUUAUUGUAUGGCUCGUUAUGUAUGCAGACUCGUAUGAUAGUCAUUGUAUCGUUAUAUAGUAUAGGCUUUAGGAUUUACACUAUAUGACAAUCAAUGACGUAAUCAUGCAAGUCCGCAUAUAUAAUGAGCUACACAAUAAAGCGCCAGAUAGCAAAGUCAGGCGAACUUUAUGCGCAUUUGUAAAUGUUUUUAACGCAUUUUUAAGUAAAUACAUAUAUUUGCUGGGUUGCUAUGAUACUAGUUGCCUUUCAACAAGUAACAAUUGUUCAAAAAGUCUGCCCUACAUCGUAAAAUUUCCUCUUGCCUUUUCUUUUUAAAUUUUUUCCUAAAAUUUUUAUUGCAUAUUUGUUGGUAGAGUGAUAUGAAGGCAACAAUUGGACGACGCAAUCAAAGCGAGAGCAGAGAAGAACAACCGAACAAGUCAAUGAGAAAGUGGUAGAACACGUCCUCAGAAUGCAUGACGACCAAAAGAAGCCACAACUAUCCAAAGAUGAUAGCAAAUGUACGGUUUGUCACUGUUAAUGUUCUACACAAUUAAGAGAAUUCUGUUUAUUUUUUAUGCAUUACUCAUUACGUAUGCCACGGCAUUUUAUUUUCACACGGAUUUAGCACAUUAAGUUUAGUAUUAUUUGACUUAAAAUAUCUUUAAGUCAAAUUUAGCGUUCAAAUCAUUUGUAAGUCCUGUUGUUGCGCUUGUUAACCGAAUUGUUUCCAUUUUUUAUGGUGGUGCACUGUCAAUUGAGCGGACCAUGAUGGAUCAUCGCCAGAAAUGAAGAGCCGCGACCAACAAAACAGAAGCAACGACGAUGCAAAGAUAUAGUGAAUGUAAGUUUUGCUGGUGUAUACGUAAUUUAAGCAAUAAUGUAACUAUUUUUGCCCUAGGCGACGAGACAAUAACUUGUAUUGAUUCACACACCCUAUUCUUCGUACUCAGCCGUAACGGACACACGUGAAAUAUUGUGAUGGAGUCUAAGUUGCGGCAACUGAUAUCACCACCUUUUGUAGCUGGAAAUCUCAAUUAUGUAAUCUUCUUUGCCUUAAAUUUCACACAAUAUAUAGCUUGAUUGAAAAUUCGUGUUUAAAAAAUUUAUUGUUACGGCUUUGUUACACAGUAUUUUGAGCUAUCAUUCGAAGGCUUUCAGAAAUUAUUGAGGGGGGAGGGGGUGACCCCUGGUGUCCGCCACUUGAGUUCUGUGCGAUAUGCUACACCCUGACUUUUAUGUACUAAAAACUUAAAGACAUUUUAGCAUUCCUAUCUUUAAAAGUAUAUUAAGUAAAUGUUUCCUGUAAUAAGUGAGGUGAAAUAUUCAAUCUAUUUUGUUAGUAAAGGUUGUUAUAUGGUGUGAAGAGGAAUCCAGCGAGAGUGCCCAAGAUGGAACGACCAGCAGAUGAAGACCUACAACCGACAGAUCCUACAACAUCGUCCAGACGAGAGUAAAACGCAAGCUUUCAAGGUAAGAGAAAAUAAAAAAUGAUUGCAUCAAAAAUGUGUUUCGUGCCUGGAAGUGACCAUGAAUUUGCUUCUGUAUAAUUUUCUCAUGUAUAUAUUAUUAAAUUCUUAUUAACCGAACGCGAGCUCUGUGCAGAGAAAUAUUAGACCCAGGCCUUCUUUGUACAGACCGAGCCGGGAGGACGAGGUUUGUACAAAAAGACCGAGAUCCGAUAUUUCUCUGUGCAUACCGAGCAAGCGAGGUUAAUAAAAAGUUUAUUAUAUGGCAUUUAUUGGCAUUUAUACUUGAAGAAAAACAAGAAAGUCCUGAUUUGAAAUGCAUAUUAGUAGCGUGGUACACAUUUGGUCGAAGAAAAUAAAAAAUGCCAAUGUAUUCCUUCUUUUCCACUAAAAACCACUCGCAGAUUUCCUAUUAAUAACAAAUUAAAUUACAAUUUUCAAAUUAUCAAUUAGUUUUGCUCUUUUGUUUUAAAAUGCACGCGCAGUGGCGGAAAUUCACUUUUCCGGGGGGGGGGGGGCAAAGCCUCCUAAAUUUCCAACAAAACUUUCAAAUUUCCGACAUACCCACCCACCCCCCAUUUACACUCGAAAAGACUGUUUUUAGCCCUCUUUUAGAUCAAAAUUUCCGAAAAUUCGUCAAUUUUCCGGAAGGUAGGGGGGGGCGGCCGCCCCUCCCCCCGCCCCACCAAGAUUUCCGCCACCGUGCACGCGUUUGUGUUUACGUAAUGGAUCGCCAUUUCAAAGUGCGCCAUUUCAGCGGAAAUGAUGCUUGCCAUAUAAUAAUAAUAAGUAACAAUACGGUCUCGAGAGUGCAAUUUGGAAAACAUACACUCGUGAAUUUUCCAAAGUUUUCAAAUCGCACUCGUACUUCAGACUCGUGCAAUAUACUUGUGCAUGUUGUUUUCAAAUUGCACUCGGAACGGCACAAAUGCCCAUACCAACAACUAUAAUUUCAAAAAUCAAAUGUUACGUUUACCCUGCGCAGGUCAAGUCGUCCAUCUGGUCACCGCGCCAAUUUUGAUGCGCGCGCAGACAAAAUUUCUCUUUUUUUGUUGUUUCAAAAAGAAGUAAUGGGUUACCGCAUGAUUGCAACACAAAUUCGUUCUACACCCUGCCCCACUGGAUAUUGCCCUACAACAUGGUUGCCGUAACGUCACAAGCUCCAUCAGCCUAUACACCUUGACUUUCUAUUUUUAAUUUGGGCGCUUUUACACGAGAAGACUGGGAGCCACGCGCUUUGAGGGCGGGGUGGAGGAUGGGCGAAAGCAUGCGACGUCAUACUUAGCAAAUGCUAGCCCAAAACCUGCCAAAACCAGUCGAAUAAAGGGCCUAGGGUCGACAUUAUUAAUUAUAUUUAACAGUUAUUCUACGAACUCGAGUCGAAUAUGAGCUAAUAGCGAAUGAGGCACGUAGCGCCGAAUCGGCUAUCGCUCAUAUUCGACGAGAGUGAGUCGAAUAACUGUUUUAUUAUAUACACAAGGUCUAAAUUCACAGACUUCGUUUUUCGGAUAUUUUCAAUAUUUUUCUAUUUUGUUUAUGUAUUUAUCUUCGCUCUUUCGGCCGAUUAUUUAUUCAAAAAUAUAUAUUUUUAGCCAUUUUAAGAAUUCAUUUGCCAACCUGUAAACAAUUUGUGGGAGUUUUUUAUUGUGUUUUUAAUCGUGUAAAGGCUAUAUCAAAAGGGAACAAAUUGCCGUUUUCUCGUUCGCAAAACGUCGGAAAUUCAGUUUGAGCCGCCAUUUUGUUUUUCUCUACUAGCAGGAUAUGGACUAGUAAUAUCUGUGGUAAUAUCCUGCUGCUAGUAGAGAACCAAUCAGAUUGCAGAAUACCUCAUAUCCAGACCUUGUGUAUAUAAUAAAACAGUUAUUGCACUCACUCUCGUGUAAUAUAUGAGCGAUAGCCAAUUCGGCACUAUCAGCCCAUAUUCGACUCGAGUUCGUAGAAUAACUGUUGAAUAUUUCAUGUUUCAAAUGAUCAAUUAAUAUUACCACGCAAUUUGAAAUUGUUGAUUAUGGGAUAAUAAUGCCGUUGAAUUGGGGCCGAAGCCCUUAAUAUUGGAGGACUGCUUGAAUAUCUGUUAAAAAAAUCCUGGCAAUUUACAUAUAGAUAUUAUUCAUUAAGUUCCUUUACUACCAAAUACCUUUAAUUAACAUGAUUCGAUCAUAUUUCAUGGACUCAUGGAUACUUUUUAAUUUCCAGCAAAAGGUGAUGUGAUGAAAUGUUGAUGUGUUGAAAAGAGACGAUGAAAAGUCCAAAAUUCAAAAAGAGCCACUCACAAAUGGCAUGGAGACAAGAAAAGAAUCACGAUUCGCAACAAUCGGAAAAUAAUAGGAAAGUAGCGAAAAAUGUUACCAAUGUAAGUUAGUUAAAGACAGAAUACUUAUUUAAAGAUCAAAGGGGAUUCAAGUGAAUACAAUGAUUUUCUCAUUAAAAUUUAUAAGCAUGCUACGAGUUUGCCGACUUUUUUCGACUUUGUUUUCCAGUUUUGGACUAUAGAAAUAAUUGCUCUCAAAAUCAGAUAAAACGUUUGAAUAAAGCUUUCAAAAACACGAUAACGCAAUGUUUUUGCGACGAGCUAGAGCUAAGUUUUUUGAAAACAACAAAAAAGUUUCCAAAAUUGAUAGUAGAGAAAUGUUUGCAUAAAAAAGAUCCAACAGUAACAAUACCUUAAAAGGAUGAAAUCUUGCCUGGAAUAUUUUCGAUUGUAGUCUUUUCUGAAAACAAAAUAUUAAUCCGCGUCACCCAAAUAGUUAAUGUAAAAUAAACAUGGCUUAGAAUCUAGUAACAAGCAUUUCCUCUUUUCAUCGUAAGCUGGUGUUGAUAAUAAAAUCACUGUCGCGGAUGCGGUCCCUAUCCAUGUUUAUAUUCUGUUAACUAUGGGAUAAGUCUUGUAUUCACAAUGAAUCAACAUAAGAUGAAAACAAGCAACCCUUAGUAUUUCAAGUGUUAAAAAGUUAAGAACUGGUGGAUUUAUUUUCCGUGUGUUUAAUAAUUCCCAUGGGAAUAUACUAUACUUUGUUUUUAUGCCAAUUUGUUUUUAUUUUGCGCAAGCGUAAAGGUAUUUUGCAAUUUUAUUUUUUUCCCGUAUUUUCAAUUCCCAGGGGAAUAUAUAUGCUUUGUUUUCAUGUUGAUGUUGAUUUCAUAGUGGAAAUUUGACUUUAUAAUGAUGAAUCCUCUUUGAUUAUAUGAUAAGUAUCUUGUUUGUCUGCCCUUAAGCCUGCCGCACACGAGAGCUAUCUGCUGAGCAAAAAGUUACUCGUGCCUGUUAGCUCAGCUGAUAGCUCACCGAUCAAACAUGUUUGAUACGUGAGAAAAGGUUGCAUGAGGCAAAAAACUCAGUAAAAUGUACGCGCACACGGUGAGCUAUCUGCUGAGCUAACAGGCACGAGUAACUUUUUGCUCAGCAGAUAGCUCUCGUGUGCGGCAGGCUUAAGGCAAAUUACGGAAGUGCUUGAGAGCAGCUGCGACGUGCCAUGCAAAUGUCAUCAAGGCGUUCCGGUUAAAUAAGUAUGAGAAUUGCGGUUAAGUCUGUUUCGAUCUGUUUGAACUAUAUAAAGAAACAAUACUAUAUGCUCACUAAACUAGCGAUAUUGUAAUUUUCAUUUGGAUUUUAAAUUCUUAUGAAAAAGUUUUUAAAAUGAUUCUAUGCAUUCUCAUGCUUAUUUAAUCGAGCCUUUGGUUUAGGUAAGUUUAAGGUUUGUAUAUAUUUAAUAUUUCGGACCAGUUAACAAAACUCAAGCCCAGACCCUUUCAGUUAAGAUUUUACGUUUCGAACCAGAAUCCAAAACUCAGUCUAAGUGGGUUAUAGGAUAGCUAGUGAUAACGUAAUUUAUCUUUUUAUUUCGCUUUUUUGUUUAUAACGUAAUUUGUUAGCUAAAUGUAUGGAGUGCGAGAGUGUGCGCCGUGUGUGUAGGAUGCAUGGGGUUAGGCUAAACUAAAGGAUUAAAAUUUUGAGAGCAUAUUUAAAAAGAAAAUAUCUUUCGGAACAAAAGGACUAAAUUCCUAACGUCAGCAAAAUUUAUUCAGUUUCGUUAUUUAAACUAAAAUUAUAGUCUGCUAGUAAAGUAAUAUAGAAGGAAAAACCCAAAAAUCCGGAUUUCGUAUAUUUUUCUAUGUAAAUUACAUGUAUAUUAAGAGGCAAGUAAGAAACUCACCUGUUUGUAUACGCGGUCUUUCUCAAUUUAUCUGUUUACGUUUGGCCUAAAAUAUCCGAUUAAUUAAAUUAAUUAUGUAUACUUUACCAAAAUUUUAAUUCCUUUAGUUUUAAGGGUGGGCAGUUCGGGCUGGUGGCAGGUUGGGCAGUUGUGAGUGUCUGUGUGAUGGUGAGGAAAGCGGAAGUUACGAAUGGGAUGCAGGUAGCUUAGGACCAAGGCAGACAGCUUAGAACUGAGGCAGACAGCUUAGGAUUGAGGCAGGUAGGCAGUUGGUAGGAAUCAGUGGGGGGCACCUGUCAUUUCGGCCAUGGGAUUCAAAAUUUGCAUGCCGAGUAUUUGUUACUAAUGCUUGUUGUUUACAUUUGCUAGGUAUGCGCGUGGCUGCUCUCAAGAGAAGAUCGACUUAGCAAUUUGCAUUGUUUAAGCAUUUGCAAGGUUGGUCUUCUCGUUGCCCCGCUACCCCGGCUGGCUCUCCGAGUGCUACCUCUACUUUAAGUAGAAGUACUUUUACUAUGUAGUAGAAGUACUUCUGCUUGAAGUAGAGGUAGUACUUGGGGAGCCGGCCGGGGUAGGGAAAUUUUUUUAAUUUUUUUUUUCAAUUCCCAUGGGAAUUGAAUUUUUAAUUAAAAAGGAGUCUCUUGUAUAAUUAAUGAACAAUUUAUUGAAAAGAAUUGUAAUUACAAAUUGAAUAUCAAUAAAAAGAGAACAACCACUGCAUACUUAUUUAAAUAAUAACAAUAGAAGAAAACAGAACAUGGCACAUAGAGAACAAUUAACAUUGUGUUUAACACAAGUGAAUAAGCACAAGUGAAAACAUAACAUUAAAAAACUUGUUUGCCCACGAAUUAACAUUAAAAAAGUCAAUUCUUGGGAAACAAGAGAACCUGGUCUUUUCAAGAUAAUGUUUAUACUUCAAAAUAAAUAUUGUAAAACAACAAUGAUAAAUUUUACGAGUUUGACCGAGAAAUCAAAAGCUUAACACCAGGUUGUUUUACAAAGAAAAUAUAUGGCUCAAAGACAAAGUAAAUCGAACAUGCUCUUUUACUUUUUUGGAUACGAACUAACUGUCUUUGGUAAAGUGACCAAAAUUUUCGCUUGAGUAUGGAAAAUGAUUUUAUCACGAUGUUUAGAUGUUUAGAUGUUAAGAUGUUAAGAGAAGUCCAUUCGUUGUAAUACCAGAUCAGUUGUCAAGUGGUUGGCAAGAAAUUGUCGUUGACAACAAAUUCCAUUUCUUGAAGCAAAUUAAUUUCCUCAAAGUGCCUUAACAUUUUGACAAUACAUUGUGAUUGACAACAUACUUCAUUAAACUCAGAAAUUAUAUCUUUAAACAUCGAAACAUUGCGACUAGAUCAUGGUUUCCACACUCAAUUGAACCACACUUCCUUCAAGUGAAAAAUCAAGAAUUUGAAAUUAUCCUGCAGUCUUUCGGAGCCAUAUAUCUUUGAGCGUCAUUUUUAACCUGACAACCGCUUUGAAUUGAUUAUAUAUAAUGUUAAUACUAAUUCAAGUGAUGAAAAUGCAGUUGAAAAAAAUCUUAAAAGAAUGUUAUUUCUCCAAUUCUGAUAGAUUUUUCAAACAAAAAUUCAGUUUCAAUUUGCUUUGCUUAAAAUGGUGCAUUUCUUUGUCCUCCAUAAAUACAAUAAAAUGAUACACAUUGUCAUUGAUCCACUACUUUACAAACAUUUCCUGAAUUUCACUUUGGGAAUCCAAAAGUUGUUCUGUUUUAUAUUAUUUAUAUAUAUUUAAAAAAAAAAGCUCAGGAAAUAUUUUUGAUGCGAAACAUGUACAGAAACACACAAAAUAUGGUUGAACCAAACUUUCAAAUGUUCAUAAAAUAUUCUCUUAUUUUUUUACACUUUUAUUUAUAUUGGUCAAAACCAAAAGAAAAAAAGCUUAUUGUUUUGCGUAAUAAAAACAGGAAAUUAUUUUUGUUGAGUAUACUUCGAUCUUUAACUCAAGUCUCAACAGAAGACAAACAGUUUUCCCAAGUCCUCACAAGGAACAAUCAGUUUCCAUUCAAUCCUUAGAAUCUCUCUCAACAUUCGGAAUAUUAUAUUGCAUUUUCAUCAAUUUCUAGUAUCAACAUUAAAGCAAACCAAACACCAAAGGACAUAUACGGUAGUCGCUCAUGCAGUGUUGUCGAUUCAACAUAUGAAAUUUCAUGUAAUACAGAUCACAAAGAUCGAGUUUUAGUUAAUUUUGGACAGCAUUCUUGUCAGGUUAAAACAGACCUUUUUGAAGUAUAAACUUACCUUUACAUACCAAGACUAUGUCCGAGUGCCAUGUAAACCUGUUUGCUUAUAUUAUUAUUAUGACUAUUAUAACACACCAUUACAAAGUGGAACUACUUGAAUAUAAUGUUGAACUGAAGCAAAAGAAAUACACG
rnacentral:lncRNA from 1 species